UACUACAGAAAAUGACUGAGCGGCGAACGGGUGAGUAACGCGUGAGCAACCUACCUUAGUUACUGGGAUAGCCCGAGGAAACUCGGAUUAAUACCGGAUAUUCUUAUUUAAUCACAUGAUUUUUUAAGGAAAGGUCAGCCGAACUAAGAUGGGCUCGCGUUCUAUCAGCUAGUUGGUAGGGUAAUGGCCUACCAAGGCUACGACGGAUAGCUGGUCUGAGAGGACGAUCAGCCACACUGGGACUGAGACACGGCCCAGACUCCUACGGGAGGCUGCAGCAGGGAAUAUUGCGCAAUGAGCGAAAGCUUGACGCAGCGACACCGCGUGUGGGAUGACGGAUCUAGGUUUGUAAACCACUUUCAGGAGGGAAGAAAAUGACGGUACCUCCACAAGAAGCCCCGGCCAA
rnacentral:rRNA from 1 species